GCCCUAAACGAUGUCUCCUAGUUGUCGGGUUUUAAUUAACUUGGUAACGCAGCUAACGCGUGAAGUAGACCGCCUGGGGAGUACGGUCGCAAGAUUAAAACUCAAAGGAAUUGACGGGGACCCGCACAAGCGGUGGAUGAUGUGGAUUAAUUCGAUGCAACGCGAAAAACCUUACCUACCCUUGACAUGUCAGGAAUCCUCUAGAGAUUGAGGAGUGC
rnacentral:rRNA from 1 species